rnacentral:rRNA from 1 species
UACGAGGGGGGCGAGCGUUGUUCGGAAUUAUUGGGCGUAAAGGGUGCGUAGGCGGUUUGGUAAGUCUGAUGUGAAAUCUAUGGGCUCAACUCAUAGUCUGCAUCGGAAACUGCCGGGCUUGAGUGUGGGAGAGGUGAGUGGAAUUCCUGGUGUAGCGGUGAAAUGCGUAGAUAUCAGGAGGAACACCUGCGGUGUAGACGGCUUUCUGGACCAUUGCUGACGCUGAGACACGAAAGCGUGGGUAGCAAACAGG